ACGGUAAUAUGAGAUUAAAACACCGGUCCGCGCAGGAUCACCGAAGAUAAGCAACGUCGAGCCUGGUCAGUACCUAGACGGGUGACCGCUUGAGAAUGCCAAGUGCUGUAAG